CGGAGUUCAGUCUUCCCAGGCCCACCACGCUUCGCCGUCGGCUUCGCAUGGCACCGCCCGGCAGAACGACCAGGCGAAGCGCGUCCGGCAUAGCCCGAAGGGCGACGCCGGACAGAAAGAGCGCUUCGUCUUCUGGUUACGGGGCCAUAGCUCAGCUGGGAGAGCGCGUGCUUUGCAAGCAUGAGGUCGUCGGUUCGAUCCCGUCUGGCUCCACCAGAUGGUUUGAUCACCGAGAUCUUGACCGUCGUCCGCGAAACAUCACUUCGCAUCCUGCUAGUCUGGAUAGACAGCAAGUUGCGUGUUUUCUGACAUCGUAAAGAGGAGAUCGAUCCGAGUUGGAUCGUGCAACAUAUCGUUGCGCGAGCCUUCAUUAUCUCCGGAUCAUUUCGGCGCUCGCUUCCAGCCGUGAGGUUGGAUGCGGGUUGUAAAUGAUCCUUUUAGCGAAGCUUGACCGCCUCGCUAUCGGAACGAUCUUACGAAGCAAGCUGGUCUUUCUAGUCAAUGUCCGGCUGUACGUAGCAUUCAUCGAGGGUGCGCGCCCGAGAUUUCGGUCUCUUGGCAAUCGUACAGACAACAUUCUGCCGAGUGUGUGGACAUUGAUAAUGAGAGCAAUCAAGUGCCUUAAGGGUGUUCGGUGGAUGCCUUGGCGCUGAGAGGCGAUGAAGGACGUGCUACGCUGCGAUAAGCCGUGGGGAGCUGCGAAGAAGCUUUGAUCCGCGGAUUUCCGAUG
rnacentral:misc_RNA from 1 species